rnacentral:misc_RNA from 1 species
CUCAGUAGCGCUCAUGUACGCUGUCAAGCCGUGGGGUCAUGUCAUCCUCGUCGGAGGCUGCGUCGGGACAUAUGCCAUGGGCAUCGGCAUGCGUUGGCGAGAAUCGAAUGUGACGAUCGUCGAACGGCGGCGAAGCCCGUCGUACGAGCGCGCAGAGAUGCGGCGCUGCGUGUUGACGGAUCAAACGGUGAAGCUGCUGACGGAUUUGGGGUGCACCGAGAGAAAAGUUCUCUCGGUGCUGCGCCCCGCUCGCGGGUGGCGCUUCCUCUCCCCUGACCUCACACCUCUUCGCGAGGGGUCAGUUUUUCCCGGCUGUGCGAUCGGCGAAUCAGCGUACCAGUGCACAGAGGGCGUCUUGCUGCGCACCCUUCGCACAGAAUUUCUGCGCUUUGGCGGCACUAUUGACUGGGAGACCGAGGCGCACAGCGCCGACGCAAACAACGACGGCAGCGACACCUGGUGCUUGCGCAGAGACUACGGUCUCAGCACGAACGUGGAGGCCAUCAUCACCAUGGCAAAGGGCACACCCUUCGCCGAGAUGCUAGUUGCGCGCGACCCAAGCAGAAUAGCGGUGCUCUUUGACGUGGAGCGUGGCGUGUGCAAGCUCGAGAGCCGCGACACGAGCGUCUUGUUUGACCAGCAGUCUGAUGUGUCAAUUGUGGUGGGAAACGGCAUCGCCCUGCACUGCUGGCGCAGCGGUACUGACGAGUGCGCUUGGCGACUCGUCCGCAGCGCCACAACGCACUCGUCACUCGAUGCAAGCCUGGAUGGCAUGCAUGAUGUGCUGAAAACUGUGAUUCAAAAGUCGCAGCAGCGGAUCCGGUCUGUCUGCGCUCUACCAGGUACCACACCCGCCAUCAAGGACGAGGCUGUACGCUUCCGUGUCGGGUUGUUGGGCGACGGCCUCCUUCCCAUAGACCCGUUCGAGUGGAGGGGCGACAACGCCCGCUGCAUGAUUGAGGAGGCGUCGGUGGUGUGUCGUCUCCUUUAUGGCAAGAAGUACCAACGUGGCGACGUCGCCUCUCUGCUACGUGGGGCAGAGCAGGAUUCCAUCUCGAAGCGGGCCAAUCUCCUGCAGCGCGAUUUACAGGACGCAGAGCACUUCCUCGCCGCUCAUCCUCUGCUGGAGAGCGAGCCCACAUUGCCGGCGAUGCGCCGCGUCGGCUCCUGAAUUUCACAGGCGAACAUGUAUUGGAAGAUCCUCGUGGUGCUUCUCUUGCAGAGACGCGCAGUGUUGCCGUUGACGGGUGCCCUGAUAUCUGGUUGUAGGAGCUCUGGAUGGGUCGCACG